CCGAGUGCUUGCACUCACCGUGAAAAUUCGAGUGGCGGACGGGUGAGUAACACGUGGGUAACCUGCCCAAAAGAAGGGGAUAACAUUUGGAAACAAAUGCUAAUACCGUAUAACCAUGAUGACCGCACGGCCAUGAUGUAAAAGGUGGUUUUGCUAUCGCUUUUGGAUGGACCCGCGGCGUAUUAACUAGUUGGUAGGGUAACGGCCUACCAAGGUGAUGAUACGUAGCCGAGUUGAGAGACUGAUCGGCCACAAUGGGACUGAGACACGGCCCAUACUCCUACGGGAGGCAGCAGUAGGGAAUCUUCCACAAUGGGCGCAAGCCUGAUGGAGCAACGCCGCGUGAAUGAAGAAGGUCUUCGGAUCGUAAAAUUCUGUUGUUAGAGAAGAAUAUGAGUAAUAGUAACUGAUUAUUCACUGACGGUAUCUAACCAGCAAGUCACGGCUAACUACGUGC
rnacentral:rRNA from 1 species